rnacentral:lncRNA from 1 species
ACUGAUCCUUAUUCCUACCAUUGAAGUUUUAUCAUAGUUUAUUCUUAACCCUGUUAUCAUCUCAAAACAGUAUAGCAAGAAUUUGAGGUUCCUCACAUAUUCCCAUUGUGCCCCACAAAAAAUCAAAGUGUCAUCGGCAUACUGUAAACAUGGUAUUCUUUCGACCAUUGUCUCCUCUCCAAUGCCUUUAAUGAUGUUUUUUGAUCCUGCAAGGUUCAUCAUUCUAGGC